GGAUUCGCUGUGUUUCAAAUCGCCCUGCGUCUCUCUCUCUCUCUCUCUCUCUGAAUUAGGGUUAUUACGGUUGGCUGCCGCCGCAAGGUAAAUCCUUCUAUCUCUGCCUCUGAAGUUGAGGGUGGAAGUUGGAGAACGUGCGAUGAUGAUGGUAAUCUUCAUCUCGUUAAUCUGAUCUCUUCAUUAACAGUGAGGAAAGCAUUAAUCCAUUCAAACCGCUCUGAGCACGUCCUCUCAACUCUAUUUCGCGCAUUUCCUUCUUCGUUUUAAGCGCUUGGUUUUGUUUGCACUUUCUUUUCAAUCCUUUUCUUUUAUUUGUUUAUCGUGUGGCUUUUUCAGAAACAACGUACUUGUUUUGAUUAUGUUCUUUAUACCUCGUUAACAUUUUGAUGAUUACACUCCUUGGCUAACUGAAUUUUGUAAGGAUAUUUAUUUGUACUUUCUUUUUAAUCCUUUUCUUUUAUUUGUUUAUCGUGUGGCUUUAUCAGAAACAGCGUGCCUGUUUUGAUUAUGUUCUUUAUACCUCGUUAACAUUUUGAUGUUUACACUCCUUGGCUAAAUGAAUUUUGUAAGGAUAUUUAUUUCACUUGUUUUACACUCAGCCCAAAAUGAUAAAAUUAGAACGAUGCAUAGAAAAGAUGUUUGAAGUCAGGAUUCAUAGUGGUGCCACCAAACAAAGAUGAACUGGUAAAUCAAGAAUUCAUUCAAUACCUAAAGGCCACUAAAUUAACUAAACUUCUGGCUUACACUACAUGAUUCAGCUACAAUUGCAGCACAUAUAUGCACAUAUAUAGCCCAUCUAUAGUCCAUGUAGCACAUAUUUUACAGCAACAGAUGCUCGUCUGGUACAAGCAUUCUACUUGGAUCCUUCACUGCAUCUCAUUCUAUAUGAUUGUCUCAUCUUUGAUUGUAGCAUUCUUCAAAAGUAUUGUAAUCCCUUAUCGUAUGUAUAAGCCAUCGGAGGGUCUUUCUGCUUUUGGGACACUAAUAUAAACAAAAAGGCAUCAAGGACAAUUCUUUGUGAAGGUAAGUUGAAGUUUGGAACACUUGCGUCCUUGUUUUCUAUUGAAACAUUUUUUCCUAUCCUCAUUCAUAUGGAUAAUGCAGUUCCUGGAAAGAUGAAGACUUAUAGAUAGUUACUUACACUUAUAAAUUCCUUUCCUGAUACAUGAGCCUUAUUGACUCACCUGAUCCUGGUGUUCUGUCCAACACCAAUUGGAACCUUACCAUCUGCCAGCAUAGAAACAAUUUCAGCUUCAGUUUCAUAGAUAUCAGCACCCAUCAUCAUAGUGUUCUGUGGAACUAAAGGAAUCAAAGCUUUGAUUUAUCAGGCAAAAUAAUCAUACUAUAAAUCAUCCGAAGAAUAAUGAAAUUGACCUUCAAUUCUGGACCAUAGUCGAGCCUCGAGCAUACCCCAACUAUGGAGAUAAUUGCAUCUAGAAUCUGUACAAAUGGCUUGCUAUUUCAGUUUAUACCCAAGUCCAGGGAGUCAGUGGAUCAUAAAAUUCAAACUAAGUAGUUUGUAUUCUAAUUUUUAGCAACCUGCUCUGUUAAUGCCAAAUUUGCAUAUCUGAUUGUUCAAAUAUCUUCCCAGUAGUUGUUGAACAUCUACACCUGCUAGGCUCACAAAGCUCUUAUUUGUUACACGGGCCAAAGACAGUGAAUUACUGUAACAAGGUCUCAAAUUAAGUGAAUUGAAUCAUUUCUUUAUCAUCACCUGAACAUUAUGCCCCUUUACAGCAAGGAAGGAUUUCUGCUCCGAAAUUAAACGUUUGAUUUCGGAUAUUUCCACCUAACCCGAAGGCUAUUUUUGCCACAACGUGAGGCUCCAACUUUCUUCUCAAUUUUCGAAAGCAGAGAUUCCAAUAAUUUAAGGGCAUAAAACCUAAAACUUCUAUCUCUGUCAAGUGUUAACUUCCUCACCUCAUGGAUCCGUAUUAUAAUGGUAAGAAGAUUUUUCUUUUAUGAACUGCAACUUGAAAAAGAGAUUUUGACGAGAUCCAUAUUUAUCCAUGCUAGUUUUCAUCGUAUCAUUCAACUUUUGUUACAAUUAAUCUUCAUAGAGGAAUUGGAAAAUAAUCUCUCUGGAUUUCUUUCAAGCCAUAAUUUGCCGACCUUUGAAUCAGCAAUCGACACGUUGACUGCAAUAGAACAUUUGUUUCCCCACUUGUGUAUUCCGUAGAAAGCAAAAGUAUUGCGUGUUAUUUUGAAUCCUGAUAUAGGGGCGCCGAGGUUUGUCCUUUCAGGAUCGGCGGCGUUUGAUGGCGACGGUGAGGGGAGGGUGAUGGCGGCAGAGCUUGGGCGGCAAACUGUGGAGUUCUCCAUCCUCGUGCAGAGGGUCACGGAUGCCUCUGCUCAAGGUUUAAUAUCUUUGGUAUCUUUCUGCCUUCAGGCAAAGGAAGUAAGAAAAAGGCCAUCGAAGAAAUGGAUCCAAAGAUAAAAGAAGUUACGGAAAACAUGAAAAUUUUACAAAUUUUAUCUUGUUUAGACACCGGAUGCACCUACCUAAUAUCAGCCAUGUAGAGGUAUACAUCUAUUUCGCCAAUGGACCCACAUUUUCCUUAUGGAUUACGAUGCUUAAUUGAUGGUUUUUGCUCA